CGCGUAGGUGGUUCUGUAUGUCUAUCGUGAAAGCGUACGGCUCAACCGUAUUUUGUCGGUAGAAACUGCAGGACUUGAGGCUGGGAGGGGCUGGUGGAAUUCCCUGUGUAGCGGUGAAAUGCGUAGAGAUGGGGGAGAACACUCGUGGCGAAGGCGGCCAGCUAGACCAGUUCUGACACUGAGGCGCGAGGCGUGGGAGCAAACA
rnacentral:rRNA from 1 species